rnacentral:rRNA from 1 species
CCAGACUCCUACGGGAGGCAGCAGUAAGGGAUAUUGGUCAAUGGGGGAAACCCUGAACCAGCAACGCCGCGUGAGGGAAGACGGUUUUCGGAUUGUAAACCUCUGUCCUCUGUGAAGAUGAUGACGGUAGCAGAGGAGGAAGCUCCGGCUAACUACGUGCCAGCAGCCGCGGUAAUACGGAGGAUGCGAGCGUUAUCCGGAUUUAUUGGGUUUAAAGGGUGCGCAGGCGGAUUUUUAAGUCAGCGGUCAAAUCGUGGGGCUCAACCCCAUCCAGCCGUUGAAACUGGGGAUCUAGAGUGUGCGAGAGGUAUGCGGAAUGCGUGGUGUAGCGGUGAAAUGCAUAGAUAUCACGCAGAACCCCGAUUGCGAAGGCAGCAUACCGGUGCACAACUGACGCUCAGGCACGAAAGCGUGGGUAUCGAACAGGAUUAGAUACCCCGGUA